rnacentral:rRNA from 1 species
AGAACGAACGCUGGCGGCAGGCUUAACACAUGCAAGUCGAGCGCCCCGCAAGGGGAGCGGCAGACGGGUGAGUAACGCGUGGGAACAUACCCUCCGGUUCGGAAUAGCUCAGGGAAACUUGGAUUAAUACCGGAUACGGCCUAGCGGCGAAAGAUUCAUCGCCGGAGGAUUGGCCCGCGUUCGAUUAGCUAGUUGGUGAGGUAACGGCUCACCAAGGCGACGAUCGAUAGCUGGUCUGAGAGGAUGAUCAGCCACAUUGGGACUGAGACACGGCCCAAACUCCUACGGGAGGCAGCAGUGGGGAAUAUUGGACAAUGGGCGCAAGCCUGAUCCAGCCAUGCCGCGUGAGUGAUGACGGCCUUAGGGUUGUAAAGCUCUUUCGCUAGGGACGAUAAUGACGGUACCUAGACAAGAGCCCGGCUAACUUCGCGCCAGCAGCCGC